rnacentral:rRNA from 1 species
UACGUAGGGUGCGAGCGUUAAUCAGAUUUACUGGGCGUAAAGCGUGCGCAGGCGGCCCGUUAAGACAGGUGUGAAAUCCCUGGGCUCAACCUAGGAAUUGCGCUUGUGACUGGCGGGCUCGAGUACGGUAGAGGGGGGUGGAAUUCCUGGUGUAGCAGUGAAAUGCGUAGAGAUCAGGAGGAACACCGAUGGCGAAGGCAGCCCCCUGGGCCUGUACUGACGCUCAUGCACGAAAGCGUGGGGAGCAAACAGG